AGCUGGGUUGUUAAGUCUCUUGGGAAAUCUGGCGGCUUAACCGUCAGGCGUCUAAGGGAUACUGGCAAUCUUGGAACCGGGAGAGGUGAGGGGUACUUCGGGGGUAGGAGUGAAAUCCUGUAAUCCUCGAGGGACCACCUGUGGCGAAGGCGCCUCACCAGAACGGCUUCGACAGUGAGGGACGAAAGCUGGGGGAGCAAACCGGAUUAGAUACCCGGGUAGUCCCAGCCGUAAACUAUGCGCGUUAGGUGUAUCGGUGACCACGAGUUACCGAGGUGCCGAAGGGAAACCGUGAAACGUGCCGCCUGGGAAGUACGGUCGCAAGGCUGAAACUUAAAGGAAUUGGCAGGGGAGCACCACAACGGGUGGAGCCUGCGGUUUAAUUGGACUCAACGCCGGGAAGCUCACCGGAUAAGACAGCGGAAUGAUUGCCGGGCUGAAGACUCUGCAUGACUAGCUGAGAGGAGGUGCAUGGCCGUCGUCAGUUCGUACUGUGAAGCAUCCUGUUAAGUCAGGCAACGAGCAAGACCCACGCCAACAGUUGCCAGCAUGGUCUCCGGACUGAUGGGGACACUGUUGGGACCGCCUCUGCUAAAGAGGAGGAAGGAAUGGGCAACGGUAGGUCAGCAUGCCCCGAAUUAUCCGGGCUACACGCGGGCUACAAUGGGCAGGACAAUGGGCAUCGACACCGAGAGGUGAAGGCAAUCUCCUAAACCUGUCCUUAGUUCGGAUUGUGGGCUGAAACUCGCCCACAUGAAGCUGGAAUCCGUAGUAAUCGCGUUUCAAAAUAGCGCGGUGAAUACGUCCCUGCUCCUUGCACACACCGCCCGUAA
rnacentral:rRNA from 1 species